UACUGAGUAUUCUCUAAACAACCAGAUAGAUAUUCGAAGACUCCGUACCUUUCAGAAGUUUAUAGAGAUUGGCAUUGACAUCAACCAGAUAAUCAAGAGUUAAAAAGGUGAUCCACUGUGUGAUACAUAAGACAAGUGUCCUUCAUAAGAAAAUUGUAAGUGUCUAUUGAUGGAAAUGCUUCUCUUUAGGGAGUUCUUUUUCUUCUCUGGAGCUUUCUAGGACACAGAACUUUAUGAUGGAUAAACCAAGGGAAAGAGGAGAACAGACACCAGAAACUGGCCAUGGGAAGAGUUCUCAAUAGGGCUGAUGCUAACAAGCUCAGUGAUACUUGGUCCCUGCACCAAGACCUUGGCUGACAAGAAAAACCUCCAUGCAAUGGUGAUGGGUAUCUCAUUCAACCCAGCAUUCGCUUUAUCUUUGCCAGAAAGUUCCAGUGAUGGUUUAUAAAUAAGACCCCCAAACUUUACUCUUUAUUUGGUAUAGUGCCAGUAAACAUACUAACUUAGA
rnacentral:lncRNA from 1 species